CCCUGCAACUUCAAGAAAUAUCUCUAAUUGGUAAACUAUAACCAAGCAAUAAUUCAAUCGGUUAUGUGUAUCAUCACUAGAUUGAACUUUCCAAAAAUCAAUCAACCAACGACUAUAGAAUCUCAAUAACCAAAAGAUUGGAUUAUUCUUUAACUAAUCCAUAUCUUCUCAAGAAACAUGUAGAAUCCUAGAACAUUGAAACAAAUCUAACCAAAGUAAAGUAAACUUACAAGGUUGUGACUUAG